GAAACAGUAGUUUAACUGGAAAAACAUUCCACUCAACGGAAGGUUGCAGGUUCAAUCCCUGUCUGUUUCU
rnacentral:tRNA from 1 species